CGAAAGCCUGACGGAGCAAGACCGCGUGAGGGAGGAAGGCUCUAGGGUUGUAAACCUCUUUUAUCAGGGAAGAAGCUCUGACGGUACCUGAGGAAUCAGCUUCGGCUAACUCCGUGCCAGCAGCCGCGGUAAUACGGAGGAUGCAAGCGUUAUCCGGAAUCAUUGGGCGUAAAGCGUCCGCAGGUGGGAGUUCAAGUCGAUUGUCAAAGGCAGUAGCUUAACUACUGAAAGGCAGUGGAAACUGAACAACUAGAGUGCGGUAGGGGUAGAGGGAAUUCCCGGUGUAGCGGUGAAAUGCGUAGAGAUCGGGAAGAACACCAGUGGCGAAAGCGCUCUGCUGGACCGGCACUGACACUGAGGGACGAAAGCUAGGGGAGCG
rnacentral:rRNA from 1 species